GGAUGCUCUCUAGGUACCCGGAUGCUCUCUAGGUACCCGGAUGUUCUCGAGGCCCUGGAUGGUCUCAGCGCCCAGCGGCAGGCGUGGACCUGGGCCCCCGUAACUCACGGGUGCGGCCGUGAGCAGAGGAGGAGCCCGGGACUCCUCCGCGUGGAGACUCGAGGCUGAGGGCGCCGGAAGCCCGCGCAUCGGGGACCAGGAGGCCCCGACUGUCUCCAUCCUCCGUGCUGGGAGCGGCAAGCGGCCUGCUGUGUGGGGAGCCUGCUUCUCAUGCCAUCCGCAUGGAUGGGGAGCCCACUCGGGGCGGUUCUGUCCGCCGAGCCUCUGGACGCUGGCCCCGGGAAGCAGCUCUGGCAGCCACCUGCGGACCCUGGGGGCCUUUCGAUCGUCUGCAAAAUUGUAUCCAUGCGUCUUUGCACAGUGACUUCCAGGCUCUUCCCAUCUGCAGACGAGUCCGUUGCCCCACGCCCAAAUCCUCGGGACUUGCCUUGGCCAGUAGAGUUUGUCAGAAGUAAAAGGU
ensembl:lncRNA